GCCAGCAGCACCGGACCCGGUGCCACCCCUGGACCACCCUUGGCAGGAUAGCAUCAGCUGUACGCUUACCCGCUUUAUUGGCCCUAUCGGGAAGUGAAUGAAAGGGAAACUGGUAGGGGAGGGAGUGCCCCCUCAGCUGUCUCAGGUACUCAUCUCUCCAUCGCCUGCUUGCAGCUUCCCUCUUCUGACCUCACAGCCACCACGAGAUCUGUAUCUCCUGAUGACCACAGGUGUCACACAGAAUGGAGGAACUGCGGGGAGAUUCAGUGAAUGGCACGAAGGGAGCGGUGACAGCAGCUGAGCACAGCUCCCAGCCCCAGCUCCAGCACUAACCCAGCGCUCCCACCGUGGGGGAAUGGCACAAAGUAAGGAGCAUCAUCAGCGUGGCUCAGAAAGCAGGAAGGGAUUUUGUUUAUUGGUUUCCGAUUUUUAUUCUUAAAUAAUAUGGAAAAUACUGAAGAUCUACAAGAGGAGAAGCAAGAGCUGAGGAGCAGCAAGAGUUGAGGAAUAGCAAGAGUUGAGGAGCAGCAAUGGUUGGAUAACACAGAAAAAGAUGCGUAAAAAAAAAUGAAAGAAAGUGUGAAGAAGAAGUAAAUAAGUGGAAAGUUCCAGGAGUGAGGAAAAAAGGUUGGAAUUUUGCCCAUCCAGAACAGGCACGUGCAGGCUCACCCCAGCAGAACGCUGCCUCCAAUAUCGCCCUGCAUACGGGGUGAAGCUCAACCAGGCAAGGGUAAUGCCUACAAUGAAAGCUGGCACAAACCACAUACUUAUUGGAUUCAGUGUGAAACUGUUCUUCACUGCCAGCUGCAGGGAGUAGAUGAUCUGAUAGGUCCUUUUAUUCUCUAAUUCUUUUGAUUGCCUAUGGGUAUUGUUAUUGCUUAUGUUGGCCAAAACCUGACCAUGCAUCUGGAUAGAAUGCACUGUAAGAAAACCAGUUAUUUGACAGAAAUACUGCAGAUGUGUCCAGUCUGGGAAGGCAGACUCCAUUCACUGUGCACAUCGAUGCUGUUUGUUCUUUUGGGGUCUUCAGUAACAUCUACGGCGCACGGCAAAGAAUACCACUACGAUGUCAUCACAUGCCUUUGUUGCUGUGGGUUAAUCCACAAAUUCUCAAUGAAGAUCUGUUGUGGGUUAUGCUGAAUGCUUAUGAAUGUCUUCAGAGCUAAUGAGCAAGCAACCACACUGCCCAAAUUUGCUUCGCUUUUAAUUGUGGCCGUUUUCCCUGCCCUCUGUAAGAACUGCUUUCUUCUCUUCCACCUACCUGAGCCUCUGUAGUGCUCAAAGGAUUUCACAUUUGGAUCAUGUGUGCUACCCUGUACAUGAUUUGUGCAAAAACUUCCCCAAAGUACCAAACAAGAUGGGAACCCCCACAGUGAUUCCAAGCAUCCCGGAUGAGAACAGGAG
ensembl:lncRNA